rnacentral:rRNA from 1 species
CUCUGGGUUAAACGGCCGCGGUAUUUUAACCGUGCGAAGGUAGCGCAAUCACUUGUCCUUUAAAUGAAGACCUGUAUGAAUGGCUAGACGAGGGCUUAACUGUCUCCUCUCCCCAGUCAAUGAAAUUGAUCUCCCCGUGCAGAAGCGGGGAUUUUUUCAUAAGACGAGAAGACCCUAUGGAGCUUUAGACACUAGACAGCCCACGUCAAACAACCUUAAUCUGCUAGGAGUGAACAUUGUGGCCCCUGUCUCCCCUGUCUUCGGUUGGGGCGACCGCGGAGGAGAAAAAGCCUCCAUGUGGAAUGAAGUUACCACCUUCACAGCUCAAAGCCGCAGCUCUAGGCAACAGAAAUUCUGACCAAAAAUGAUCCGGCAAACGCCGAUUAACGGAACAAGUUACCCUAGGGAUAACAGCGCAAUCCUCUCCCAGAGUCCCUAUCGACGAGGGGGUUUACGACCUCGAUGUUGGAUCAGGACAUCCUAUUGGUGCAGCCGCUAAUAAGGGUUCGUUUGUUCAACGAUUAAAGUCCUACGUGA